UGAACUAAUGCUACUGGAGGAAAACAUAAAAAAGAAAGAUCCACUCAACCAUUUGAAAGCAAGCAGCCUCUUUGAUCAAGUGUGUGGGGAGAAGUUAAGAGGGUACCCAGCUCCCAGCUAUGCUCCUGUGGGCUUCCCAGUGGCCAACAUUACCCUUCUGUUCCUAUCCGUGUGGGGAAGAUGCAAG